rnacentral:rRNA from 1 species
CAGCCCCUCGAGUGGUGGGGAUGAUUAUUUGGCCUAAAGCAUCCGUAGCCGGCGCUGUAAGUUUUCGGUUAAAUCUGUACGCUCAACGUACAGGCUGCCGGGAAUACUGCAGCGCUAGGGAGUGGGAGAGGUAGACGGUACUCGGUAGGAAGGGGUAAAAUCCUUUGAUCUAUUGAUGACCACCUGUGGCGAAGGCGGUCUACCAGAACACGUCCGACGGUGAGGGAUGAAAGCUGGGGGAGCAAACCGGAUUAGAUACCCGCGUAGUCC